rnacentral:lncRNA from 1 species
GGAGGGGGGAGAGAGGAGCCUUCCUCCCUUCUUCUCUUUCCCUAUUUUUAGAGACAGAGGGUUUCCUCUAUUUGUCUUCGUUUUGUUAUGAUUUUCCUCCAACCAUCACAUGCGCUGCAUUUCGGCAUAGGAUCUCCAUCACCAUCCUUUUUUCGGUUUCUUUAUGUUUGGAAUAAGUCACAGAGACUCUUUGGAUUCUCUAUAUAGUUUUCACCUCUCCUUUUGUGAGAGCUUUUCACUUCUUUGUGAGCGCUUUUCAUCUCUCCUUUGUGAGAGUUUUAUUUGUAUUGUUAUGACUUGAUUUUUUAAAGCUUUAUCUCUUCUUGAUUAUUAUGAGUUUGCAAUCUUAGUUGGGAUGCCUAGUCAGAGUUUCUUCGAUCUUGCGUGAUCGUUCGUGGAGGCACACAAGAUUGUCUUAAUUUUGAUGUUAGAUCGCUUUGUUAUUGUAAUGGCACUUUGUGGCUAGUUUGUAUUGGUCAUUUGUGAUUAGUGGCCUUUUUGAUUGAAUUAUGAAUAUAAUCCUAGAAUUUCUC